rnacentral:rRNA from 1 species
GGGAACGUACCCUUCGGUUCGGAAUAACGCUGGGAAACUAGCGCUAAUACCGGAUACGCCCUUAUGGGGAAAGGUUUACUGCCGAAGGAUCGGCCCGCGUCUGAUUAGCUAGUUGGUGGGGUAAUGGCCUACCAAGGCGACGAUCAGUAGCUGGUCUGAGAGGAUGAUCAGCCACACUGGGACUGAGACACGGCCCAGACUCCUACAGGAGGCAGCAGUGGGGAAUAUUGGACAAUGGGCGCAAGCCUGAUCCAGCCAUGCCGCGUGAGUGAUGAAGGCCUUAGGGUUGUAAAGCUCUUUUGUCCGGGACGAUAAUGACGGUACCGGAAGAAUAAGCCCCGGCUAACUUCGUGCCAGCAGCCGCGGUAAUACGAAGGGGGCUAGCGUUGCUCGGAAUCACUGGGCGUAAAGGGCGCGUAGGCGGCCAUUCAAGUCGGGGGUGAAAGCCUGUGGCUCAACCACAGAAUUGCCUUCGAUACUGUUUGGCUUGAGUAUGGCAGAGGUCAGUGGAACUGCGAGU